CACCACUUCUUUCAGGUCACUCUCGGGUUUCCCGGCCACCAAGAAGGGCCACGUCUGCGGGAAAGAAGAGGGUGGAGGAGAAAACACGAGUAAAAAUACAGGGAGUAUCAACUGCAUCCUGCCAACACCUCAUAAGACUCCAAGGCUUUACCAAGAUCUCCUUCCACCUUCCCCGGGAUAAAUGAGGACAAGUGCUUCCUUGAAUCUUUAUGGUGAUGGAAAAGUGGAGAUUUAAAUGACCACAUCCACCCUAAGAUUUAUUGUGAGAAUGAUUGAUGUUAUAAACCAGGAAAGGACUCUUCCCACAGCAGGGAUGACAGAAAUAUCAAGUUGAAGUUGCCUUUGUCUUCACGUACAAAUGACCCCGUACUACAACACAGAAAGUAUAAUAAUUUCAUCUGAGGUUCAAGACAGCAGUAAGAGAACACCCAGCAGGAUAUAGUAAAAGAAGACAGAUCAGUCUCUCUCCUGAUAAGAAGAGUCACUAAGAGGAACAUCUGCAACAACUAGUUUCCUGGAACUCAGAUAUACACGUGAUGUCUGGAGCUCUGGCAGCCAUGUUGGAUGAUGAGAUGAAGGAGUUACCAGCACUAAAAUUGGCAAAGAAGACCUGGAAAGUGUCUGGGUUGCUGAAGAGCUCAUGAAGCCACUGCAUCAGGCUGGACUGCUGAAUAUCAGUUUUCUUGACAGAACAAAAUCUUGUUUGUGUAAAUCACUAUUAUCCAGGUCUCUUUUAGUUGCAGCAAAAUUCAGUUUCUACAGAUAAAGUAAGAAUCAUUCGUUCUCAUCCCACCCAUAUGUCUUUUAAAGAAAUUUUUCUUUUAUUGACCGAUCUUCUGAUACCUCCUCAUUUCUCUAUAACUUCCUAGGGAAAGACAAACUUUGGGUGGCCCACUGUUUUCAUGUACAAGAUUUCUAGCCAUUUGUCUUGGUAUUCCACAUCUAUGACAGCAGUUUGAUCUCAUUAUGAAGUAACAGCUCAAACAGUAGUUCUACAUGAGGAUGAGGGUGGGGGAGUUGUAGAAUCAUUUUGGGGAGUUUUUCCAAACUACACAUUCCUAGCUCCAUUAUCUCUGCAGAGAUUCUGAUAUUCUUUAUCAGCUCACAUUUGAGACUUACUUAUCUGUAGCACAUCCGCAAGUUUUUACUUGCUUCCAAUUGGCAAAAUGUAACAUUAAAAACAAACUAGGAAUUCUGUGAAGUGAAAAACUGCCUAGAGUAUUACAAGCUAGUAGAAAAAAGGUAUACAUUUUUAAAUGUUUUGAAAUCCAGUUAGAGGCUCACAACCUUUUAAUUUAAAUGUGUCUUGAAUCUUAGUUUGAAAAGCCUCAGUCAAAUAUAAGUGGCCUAAUGUAAAUGACCAUAUAUUUUUUCUCCACUAGUUUCUUCCUAGAAUUGCUCCUUCAGAAAUGUGGGGAGAAAGUUUGGAGGAAGACACUGGGCUAUAUGUCUGUCAAACCACUAUUUUUCUUUUCAUUAUCACACUUUCAGUAAUAUAUAUUAAACACUAAACAUAUGUGUUGCUGUGCUAGGUACUAUAUGCAUUUGCCAAUGGCAAAACACAAUUAUCUCCUGUUUCCAUCAAAAGCUCUUCCAGGUCUCUGUGGGAGGACUCAGGGUCUUCUUUUUACUGUCUUGGUGGGUGGCCUGUUGAUUUGGGCUUACAUGGCUCAGCAUGUACUCAUUUGGCUAAGCAGUAAUUAGACCAAGACUGUGGCAUUUCUUGCUUUGUCUACAAGAUGUGGUGAUAGAAGGGACAAAGACUGAAUUAUAUAUAUACCUGAUAUAUUUGAUGAAGAAGUAGUGUGUUCGGGACAGGGGAACUCUAUAAAUAAAAAUAAUCAAAAACAGAAGCAAAAAGUGAAAAGAGAGCAGGAUUACAUAUAACAAGGAAAUAACCUUAGCUCAGAUGUGGCAGCAGCAUUGCCGAUUUUAAAAUUGAAAAAGAAAUCGUAGACUGCCUUCAAUGAUUAGUUCCACAAUUAGAGAGAAACUAUUAGGAUGCAAAUACUGUACUUGUGUGUACUCAGAGCAUUGCAGAACACAAUGUCUUGUGCAAAUCAUAUGUUCAGGGAAUGUGUAUUAUUGACUACUUUUUUUUAAGCAGUAAUUUUAUGCUUUGGGUGAUACUGAAAGUUCAUUUCAAUUUGAGUAUGCUUUCGAUUUAAAAAUUUUAUUUGUGCAACUUUAAUUGUACAGUCUUAUAUUCUUUGCUAAUUUAUAUAAGUUGUGUGAAGUCAGGGAUUUAUUAUGGCAUUCAGCACAAGCUUUUAAUAAAUAAUGGGUGGAUUCAGUAAGUACAAGGGUAAAACCUCAGCAUUUUUCUGAGAUUUGACUUUUUACCUUAUUAAUUUUCUUUUUACCUUAUUGACUAAGACAUAAGCCUUACGUACUGGAUUUGAGAGAAUGGCUGUGGUCAUCAGCUGUCUACCUGAGUCCAGUCUCUUCUCUGCUUUAGUGAAGGGAAUAUUGCCAGGCAAAUGCUAAGACUUCUUCCUUGGCUUUUGAGUGAAAGUGACUUGUGUCAGAUCUGGGCUGGCUGAGGCUUUUUAUAAGUGUACCUGUGUGGUUUUCCAUGCUCUUCUCCAGUUUCUGCCCACUGGAUACAGAUGAUGAUGCAUCACUAGAAGAUAGGAGAGCCACAUGGUAGAUUGUGGAGAGAGGUCCACUAGUAUGAAUACCAGCCCUUUGCUGCUACAUAUGUGAGAAAUAAACUGCUAUUGCUUUAACUCACUAAAAUGUCCAGGUCUAUUGAUUACAUAAGUUUAGUUUAUUUUAACCAGUACAGAUUUUAACUUAUUUAUUUUACAUGAAAAUUAAUUAUUCAAUCAUUAAAAUACUAAUACAUAAUUAAAGUAGAAACAGAUAUAUGCUAUGUACUACAAAAGUCUGAAAACGUAGCUGAUAUAGUGACCACUUUCAAAGAUGGGAAAGAUUUUAGAAAAAUGAGAUUUCUGGGAGCAAACUCACAGGAUGGAGACUGUAUGUUGAGUAAAGAUCUUGAUUUUUGGUGCCUUAACAUGACUGGAGUUCUAUUCCUUGUUUUGCUGCUUAAGUAGUUGUGAUCCCAGGAGGCUGGGCUAUGGUUUUCUCAUCAGUUGAAAGAGGUUAACCUACUGCUACUUCCAAAAAGGCUAAAAUUAGGGAAGAUACUCUGUUUUUGAUGAGUUGCCAUAGUUUUUUGGGCAAUUUGAGAUUAUCAUUGGGUUUGUAUUAACUCUGUCCUAUCACAGCUUGCUUCUGUUGCUGUACACAGUGUUCAUGCUUUGUGAAUUAUCAGUAAAAUGUCAUCAGGUUUUCUAAAAAAAAUUACUUAGUUUACUUUCAGCCUCUUGCUUUAGUAUAUUUUUCAAUUUAUAAAACUAAUAGUGCAUGAAAUAAAUGUAUUGAUUUACACAUUUAGUAGUAUGC